rnacentral:tRNA from 1 species
GCUCCUGUCGUCCAUGGGUAAGACACCGGUCUUUCAAGCCGGGAAACGGGGUUCGAGUCCCCGCAGGAGCACCC